AGUACCAGCAAGGACACACAUACAGCCACAAAGCAAGACCUAGGAGAAAUAUUUGGUGCUCUACUCUCCUAGGGAACUGGAAGGAACCUGCUCUCUCCUGGGUAUACUUUUCUAAUUUUAGAGUGCUAAAGAAGCUCUUCUCACAGGGACCCGAGUGAAUCCUUUCUCCUUGGAACAAAGGACAAGAAAAAAAGAAAGGACUUUACCGCAGAAAUGAUGAAGAUCAUGUCUCCAAGUCUUUUCUGCCGUUGCCAGUAUUCUCUCCCAAUCUCCUGUGGGCAACUUCUUCGGGAAAACACUCAUGCAAUUUCAUAAGGACAAGCGAAAAUAUGAAGAAGCUGGAUCUUGGAACUAGGCUUUGAUCACAGAGCGGAGCUGAGAUGAAAGUCCAUCCACUCAUUCAACAAAUAAUUGAGUACUUACAAAAAUUUCUGCUGUAUGGAGCUUAUAUAGUAGUGAAUAUCAAUUCUUAUUUUAUGGAUUAUAAAACAGAACUUUUUGCAACAAUUUUACACUACCCUAGGGGUACCUAUGAGUCUUCAUGCCUCAAGUAAUUGUCCUGUCCAUGUGACUAUGGAAGCCCUGAAAUCUUUGAAACCCCAGAUGACCCAUUUCACCAGACGCUUGGACAUUCUCCGUCGAGUUUGGAUUUAUAGUGGGUACCCAGAUUUAGGUCAAGGACAUAAAAUCUGAACCACUUUAGGCACUGCUCAUAAGGAGUAAAUUCCUAGUGAAAAAGCAAUGUCCCUCAGGAAUGAUUGCUAUAGCAGGCUAAAAGGUAGAUUUAUAAAUGUUUAUAAAAAGCAGAUUGGAUUUAGCAGAGGUAGCAGUGAUGACCAGGAGCAAUAGGAGGAAAUGUUCUUAAUAGUGCUGUUUGGUGGCAUCUUCUUUUUAUACAAAGAAGUCUUGCAAGCAUUUCUACUUGAAUGACUAAUUUGGAGUAAUUUUUAGUUUCUGUAUUUUUAUUAGUUAAUAGGAUCUAGGAAUAUAAUAACCUGGUGAGAAUUUCUUCGUGAAUGGCAAUCAAAUUUGUCUUAUUCAUGAAACUCAUAAAUAAGCUAUAAUCCAGCAUUUUAUAACUAGGGAAAAUAAAACUGGGGUCCUGCUGUUUAAGAGGCUAAGGCAAUUUAACAGAACACUGGGGGAUUUAUAGUAGAUUUAUGAUGAAGAUACAUUCUAACUGGAAGCUUAAUUGUGAUUUAAAUUAUAGGUCAAGCUGAGCAAUGUGUUUUCUUUUUAGGGGGAAAUCUUUAGAGAGUUAGAGUGUGCUUGUUUAAAGAGGAAACAGACCAAAUGAGAAAACAGAUUGCAUUUUCUGUUUUUCUUUUAAAAUUUCAAGCUGCUUUAAGUCAAAUUGCCCCUGAGUUCCUGAUGAUGGCUGUGGUGAAAUUGCCUUGUUUUACUUUCUUGCCUUCUUUUCCAGAGCAGUUAUUUUACCUGAAAAUAACAAAAAGAUAUAGGCAGCAUAUCAGCCAGAAAACUAAUAUGGAAACCAGAGAUAAAGUAUACUCAACCUGCCUAGAAUUGUGACAUCCUAUAAUUUUAGGCUGAGUUGUAUAAAAUUAGCAAGUAAUAUGGAUGAAAGGGCCUUUGAAAAAUUUUUGCCACUCAUUUUGCAAAUGGGAAAAUUGAGGCUUCUAGUGGUUUUCCUAAAUUUUUUAUCUCAAGUACUUUAAGGUCUCAUGAGGAAAUAAAAUUUAUGUACAAAUAAUUUUAAUUAAAAGUAUAAAAAGUUGUUUCCCUGAAAAAUAAAACUUAAAACAGAUAACAAAAGGUUGAUUCUGUAAGGAGGAUUUCUAUUGGGAAAAGGACAGUUAGAUUUGACAGCCCAGAUGCUUACUCUCUAACAUUUCCCUACCCCUUGGCAGAAUCCUUCAAUAAUUAACACCAGGACAACCACAUAGACUUCAGCCAUGGGUGUGUCAGGGGCAUUUGAACCAGAGCAACUCCAUCUUGAAUAGGGUCUGGGCAAAGUGAGGCUGAGACCCACUGGGCUGCAUUCCCAGGAGGUUAGGCAUUCUUAGUUACAGGAUGAGAUAGGAGGUUGGCACAAGAUACAGGUCACAAAGACCUUACUGAUAAAAUAAUAUGGUACAGAAGCUGGCCAAAACCCACCAAAACCAAGAUGGUGACGAAAGUAACCUCUGGUAGUCUUCACUGCUCAUUAUGUGCUAAUUAUAAUGCAUUAGCAUGCUAAAAGACACUCCUACCAGUGCCAUGACAGUUUACAAAUGCCAUAGCAAUGUCAGGAAGUUAUACUAUAUGGUCUAAAAAGAGGAGGAACUCUCAGUUCUGGGAAUUGCCCACCUCUUUCCUGGAAAACUCAGGAAUAAUACACCCCUUGUUUAGCAUAUAAUCAAAUAACUAUAAGUAUAAUCAGUCAAGCAGCCUAUGCCACUGCUCUGUCUAUGGAGUAGCCAUUCUUCUAUUCCUUUACUUUCCUAAUAAACUUGCUUUCACUUUA
ensembl:lncRNA SMC2-DT SMC2 divergent transcript